UCCGGCUUAUCACCGGCAGUCCCCUUAGAGUGCCCAACUGAAUGAUGGCAACUAGGGACAAGGGUUGCGCUCGUUGCGGGACUUAACCCAACAUCUCACGACACGAGCUGACGACAGCCAUGCAGCAUCUGUCUCCAGGUUCCCGAAGGCACCCCCACAUCUCUGCGGGGUUCCUGGGAUGUCAAGACCAGGUAAGGUUCUUCGCGUUGCAUCGAAUUGAACCACAUGCUCCGCUGCUUGUGCGGGUCCCCGUCAAUUCCUUUGAGUUUUAGCCUUGCGGCCGUACUCCCCAGGCGGGGCACUUAAUGCGUUAGCGGCGGCACGGGGGGAGUCGACACCCCCCACACCUAGUGCCCAUCGUUUACGGCGUGGACUAC
rnacentral:misc_RNA from 1 species